UUCCGCAUAUGAUCUAUAUCUUGUUCCUUGAUGAUAAAUGAAUAAAUUUUCAACUCUCGAUUUCAAACUUGAAUAAAAUUACCCUUUUGAAGUAGAAGCAGAACUAUUAUAGUAAGAAACUUCCUUUAAGAGCAUUAGAGCAAUAUUACUAGCUACAUUUCUGGUCAUGUAGAAUGUCAUUCAUAGUUUGACUCUUGAAUACAUGAUAAAAUCUAUUCCUGUCAGUUGCAGUUUGUAAAAGAUGUUGAAUGACUCAGCCCUUCAGUUUUUCACCUGAUACAUUUCUAGUGGUUCUUUGCAGCUCACUUUUGAACUUCUUAAUUGUAGAUAUUCCCUUACUGUCUUGCGUAGUAUGUUUGCCAUGUAAUGAGGGUUUCUCCUUUCCGAUAUUAAUGUGAUAUGAUAUUUGAGGUUAUGAAAAAUGAGCAACCUUAUGACAGUAUCCCAAAUUUCAGUGCUGCCGAUGCCUUGAAACUUACAGGAAUUGGAAGAAAUGAAUUUAUUGAUAUCAUGAACAAAUGCAGGUCUAAGAAAAUCAUGUGAAGCUCAACAAGUCGAUUGCAAAAGAGUUGUUACCUACCCAACCUGUGGACUUUCAAACUAAACCUUGGUGGGAAAUUUGUCUUGUUAACUUUACUCUGGAAGAG